rnacentral:rRNA from 1 species
AGCGAACGCUGGCGGCAGGCCUAACACAUGCAAGUCGAACGAACCCUUCGGGGUUAGUGGCGGACGGGUGAGUAACACGUGGAACGUGCCUUUAGGUUCGGAAUAACUCAGGGAAACUUGUGCUAAUACCGAAUGUGCCCUUCGGGGGAAAGAUUUAUCGCCUUUAGAGCGGCCCGCGUCUGAUUAGCUAGUUGGUGAGGUAAAGGCUCACCAAGGCUACGAUCAGUAGCUGGUCUGAGAGGAUGACCAGCCACAUUGGGACUGAGACACGGCUCAAACUCCUACGGGAGGCAGCAGUGGUGAAUCUUGCGCAAUGGGCGAAAGCCUGACGCAGCCAUGCCGCGUGGAUGAUGAAGGUCUUAGGAUUGUAAAAUCCUUUCACCGGUGAAGAUAAUGACUGUAGCCGGAGAAGAAGCCCCGGCUAACUUCGUGCCAGCCGCCGCCGUAAGAC